rnacentral:RNase_MRP_RNA from 1 species
CCCUCGCCCGACAAAUCGCCAUCGAAGCUUCAAACGGAAAUGCUCUCAGGAGCGUCUCAUGCACCUUGCUUCGGGAGAAAGUCCCCGGACAGUCUUCCUUUUCAUGAAGGGAGAAUGCCGAAAGGCGCCGCCAUAGAAGCACCAAGCGGCUGAUCUCUGCCUUCCCCCGUCCCCUUGUCCGGCUUGCCUGCCCUGCCUCGCCGCUACAUCUUUCUGGUUUUGUGCUCGUGGUCUCAGUGGCCGGCCUGGCUCGAUGUGUCACACGGACGAAGAUAUGAGUCCGACACGCAGAGACGGGUCCUGCCUCUCUGGGGCUUCUGGGCGCGGCCGUUCGAUGGCGGGGUGGACGUGAUGUGCGGCCUAGUGCUGGGGGCGCUCUGUGGGGAGGGCUGGAGAACAUUUCGUCGGGAUAUCACAGGUAUGCGAUUGUCCCAUGUCAGGCUCUGCCUGGCUGGGUUUACUCGAUGGGGCUCAUUCUUGGUGCGAGG